UACGUAGGGGGCUAGCGUUGUCCGGAAUCAUUGGGCGUAAAGCGCGUGUAGGCGGUCCGGUAAGUCCGCUGUGAAAGUCGGGGGCUCAACCCUCGGAUGCCGGUGGAUACUGUCGGGCUUGAGUACGGAAGAGGCGAGUGGAAUUCCUGGUGUAGCGGUGAAAUGCGUAGAUAUCUGGAGGAACACCCGUGGUGCAGACGGUUUGCUGGACCGUGACUGACGCUGAGGCACGAAAGCGUGGGGAGCGAACGGG
rnacentral:rRNA from 1 species